rnacentral:snoRNA from 1 species
CCGGUUGAUGAGACCAAGGCGAAUGUGACUUGGCCUACUGACUCUUGGCUUGGAGGUUGGGGGGGCGGGGGUUGGAGGUGGGGCAGGACAACUGGUGAGAUCUGAAAUCUUGGUGGGGGUACCUGAGGCCUGACUCCCUGCUGUAAGGCCAGAUCAAUAGCACUGCUGGCCUUGCCCUCACGUCAGCUGCCACCACAGUACUGGCAGCAUCCUGUAGGGAGGCCCACAGGGGUAGCCAAAGUGUGAGUAGCCAUGUGAGCACAACCUUGAAUCUGACA